UACGUAGGGCGCAAGCGUUAUCCGGAAUUAUUGGGCGUAAAGAGCUCGUAGGCGGUUUGUCGCGUCUGCCGUGAAAGUCCGGGGCUCAACUCCGGAUCUGCGGUGGGUACGGGCAGACUAGAGUGAUGUAGGGGAGACUGGAAUUCCUGGUGUAGCGGUGAAAUGCGCAGAUAUCAGGAGGAACACCGAUGGCGAAGGCAGGUCUCUGGGCCGAUACUGACGCUAAGGCGCGAAAGCGUGGGGAGCGAACAGG
rnacentral:rRNA from 1 species